rnacentral:tRNA from 1 species
GCGGUUGUGGCGGAAUGGCAGACGCGCUGUCUUCAGGCGGCAGUGCCUUCGGGUGUGCGGGUUCGACUCCCGCCAACCGCA